rnacentral:rRNA from 1 species
CCUGAUGGAGGGGGAUAACUACUGGAAACGGUAAGUAAUACCGCAUAACGUCGCAAGACCAAAGAGGGGGACCUUCGGGCCUCUUGCCAUCGGAUGUGCCCAGAUGGGAUUAGCUAGUAGGUGGGGUAACGGCUCACCUAGGCGACGAUCCCUAGCUGGUCUGAGAGGAUGACCAGCCACACUGGAACUGAGACACGGUCCAGACUCCUACGGGAGGCAGCAGUGGGGAAUAUUGCACAAUGGGCGCAAGCCUGAUGCAGCCAUGCCGCGUGUAUGAAGAAGGCCUUCGGGUUGUAAAGUACUUUCAGCGGGGAGGAAGGGAGUAAAUGUUAAUACCUCUGCUCAUUGACGUUUCCCGCAGAAGAAGCAUCGGCCUAACCUCCCGUCUGCCGACGGUAA